CCCGGGACGAAAUUUCGAGUAUAUAUUAAUGCAUACACACACACACACACAAAGCUGAGCUAACCCUUGGAGUUGGUAGUGUUUGUUUCAUUUGGUUCUUUAAAGUUGCAGAGGCCGAGGAGGUUAAUGGUAACAGAAAUGGAACAUUUGGAAAAUUUGCCAAAUCAGGUAAGCGAAAGGUGUUUGCAGGCAGCAGAGUUUUGAGGGUAGUUUUCAUCCUCUCAUCACUCUACUCCCAGAUUAUUCGCUUCCCUAAUUUGGACGAUUUUACUUGCGCUCCUUCUUCACCCCUCUCAAGUUUCUCAUCGAAAAUCAGUGGAGAGAACCUGGAAAUAUACUUUCACCUCUGCAAAAGUUUUCGAGCUUCAAACAGCAUGUCAUAUUACAUUGCAUGGGGCGGGACGAUAUGCAUGGACGAAGAGUGGCAGUUUAAUAAUGUGCAAACCAGUAGUGGCUCAUCCACAAACCAAGUGGCAGUUUAUCUGCAAAUGUUUUAUCUGAAAAUAUUGGUGGUUUACCCACAAUUUUUACAACAAAGUGGCAGUUUAACUGCAAAUUAAUAGUGAUUUAUCCACAACUCGGUGUGUACGGAUGGAUGAGUUCUAGGGAACUCAUAGUGUGGUGUGUAGUGGAGUUGGGUAGGAUUUAUGAUAAAUUAAAAUUGCAUUGUCAUUCAUAAAACUGUGGAUUCUGAAAUAUUAUAGAAAAGUGUUGAUUGAAAAA